GACGAACGCUGGCGGCGUGCCUAAUACAUGCAAGUAGAACGCUGAAGGAGGAGCUUGCUUCUCUGGAUGAGUUGCGAACGGGUGAGUAACGCGUAGGUAACCUGCCUGGUAGCGGGGGAUAACUAUUGGAAACGAUAGCUAAUACCGCAUAAUAGUAGAUGUCGCAUGACAUUUGCUUAAAAGGUGCAAUUGCAUCACUACCAGAUGGACCUGCGUUGUAUUAGCUAGUUGGUGAGGUAACGGCUCACCAAGGCAACGAUACAUAGCCGACCUGAGAGGGGGAUCGGCCACACUGGGACUGAGACACGGCCCAGACUCCUACGGGAGGCAGCAGUAGGGAAUCUUCGGCAAUGGACGGAAGUCUGACCGAGCAACGCCGCGUGAGUGAAGAAGGGUGUCGGAUCGUAAAGCUCGGUUGUAAGAGAAGAACGAGUGUGAGAGUGGAAAGUUCACACUGUGACGGUAUCUUACCAGAAAGGGACGGCUAACUACGUG
rnacentral:rRNA from 1 species